GGCCUCUCACUGUUGUGGCCUCUCCCAUUGUGGAGCACAGGCUCUGGACGCGCAGGCUCAGAGGCCAUGGCUCACGGGCCCAGCCGCUCUGCGGCAUGUGGGAUCCUCCCAGACCGGGGCACGAACCCGUGUCCCCUGCAUUGGCAGGCGGACUGUCAACCACUGCGCCACCAGGGAAGCCCCAAAGCUACACUUUUUGAGACCAAGCAACUGAAAUCUUGAGCCCAAAUAAGAGGAGAACGUAUUGGACUUGGGUUUUGAAGAUGGGAAUUCAGAUCCUGGUUUUGUCACUUAAGAGCUACGUGACCUUGACUACAUCUCUGGAUCUCAGAAAAAUGGUGAUAUCUGUCUUACCUACCGUAAAGUAAAAUAUAAUGAUAUAAUGAUAUCUGUCUUACCUACCGUAAAGUGCUCUUGUGAGGAUCAAAUCAAAUGGAUGUGAACUUGAUUUGCAAACUGUAAUUACACAUAUAAGGUAUUGUUAUUCUCAGUUAACCAGAAGUGGCACAGACGUGAAACCUCACGUUAACUAAAUAUGGCUAAUAAUUCUGAAGAAUGCUAAAUUCUAAGUGUUCUUACUUUUAUCUCCACUUGAAUGAUGAAGAAACGAAGGCAUAGAGAAUAGAAGUGAUUUGGUCAAGGUCAGAGUGCUAGCUAUGGCAUAAUGAAGAAUGAUACUUAAUUAAAUUGAUUUUUGGCCUAAGAUAGAAGUCACACCCUUCUCUCCAAACAUAUAACAAGUACAAGUAUUAAUUAUGGUGACAGCCACAUCCACUGCCUCUUCCCCACUUGCCCAGCUGACAGCCCACUCUGUAAAGGACUGACUAGCUCUUCUCUCUGUACUGGAGGCUGCUGACUGGGGAUGCCUACAGGGGUGCUUUAAUUAACUAAAUAUUCUUGAGAGCCUCCUUCUGUGGCUUGGAUGUGAAGGUAAGGAGAGGAUGGGUCUUUGAGCCCAAGAAGAGAGUGGAACAGACCCAAGGAAGUGUGGGGGAGAGACCAUGAGAGGGAAAGGUGAAGAGAGUCCCCCAUCACCAGAGCUGCCUUAGAUCCUGAGGGUUUUCCGGUCUAGUUCCUGUCCCACUGGGUAUCCUUUAAACAAACACCUUAUAUUUAUAAUGCUCUGCACAAACCUCUCUUUCUUAUAGCCAAGAAAGUCCAACAUGAUGGAUGCUGGGCACCUCUCAACUGGACUUCUCAGCUUCCUUAUUGGUGUUCCUGCCUCUCAUCUUUGCCUCCAUCUACCCCAUUUUACAUGCAUUAAUCUUACAGAUUGAUAUCCAAGACAUUGCAGGCUAGUACUGGUUAUAAUUAUACUAUGCAUCUCCACACACUGCAUUGUGCACCUACAAUUUAUAGUUCCCUCCUCUCCUUUAUCACCAGUUAUCCAACUUCUACUUAUAUUCAAGGCUAUUCAGAUGGCAGGACUCGCAUGAAACCCCCUUUUGAUGUGCCAAACCAAAAUUGAAAGAUCGUCUCUCUCCUCUUCCUCAA